rnacentral:rRNA from 1 species
UACGAGAGGCGCAAACGUUAUUCGGAUUUACUGGGCUUAAAGAGUUCGUAGGCGGCGCAGAAAGUAGGGUGUGAAAGCCCUCGGCUCAACCGAGGAAUUGCGCUCUAAACUACUGUGCUUGAGGAACCUAGAGGUGAGCAGAACUGAUGGUGGAGCGGUGAAAUGCGUUGAUAUCAUCAGGAAUACCGGAGGCGAAGGCGGCUCACUGGGGGUUUUCUGACGCUGAGGAACGAAAGCCAGGGGAGCGAACGGG